rnacentral:rRNA from 1 species
CAGUUGGAAACGACUGUUAAUACCGCAUAAUAUCUGUGGAUUAAAGGUGGCUUUCGGGCUGUCGCAGAUGGAUGAGCCUGCGUUGGAUUAGCUAGUUGGUGGGGUAAGGGCCCACCAAGGCUACGAUCCAUAGCUGAUUUGAGAGGAUGAUCAGCCACAUUGGGACUGAGACACGGCCCAAACUCCUACGGGAGGCAGCAGUGGGGAAUAUUGGACAAUGGGGGCAACCCUGAUCCAGCAAUGCCAUGUGUGUGAAGAAGGCCCUAGGGUUGUAAAGCACUUUAGUUGGGGAGGAAAGCCUCAAGGUUAAUAGCCUUGGGGAGGACGUUACCCAAAGAAUAAGCACCGGCUAACUCCGUGCCAGCAGCCGCGGUAAUACGGGGGGUGCAAGCGUUAAUCGGAAUUACUGGGCGUAAAGGGUCUGUAGGUGGUUUGUUAAGUCAGAUGUGAAAGCCCAGGGCUCAACCUUGGAACUGCAUUUGAUACUGGCAAACUAGAGUACGGUAGAGGAAUGGGGAAUUUCUGGUGUAGCGGUGAAAUGCGUAGAGAUCAGAAGGAACACCAAUGGCGAAGGCAACAUUCUGGACCGAUACUGACACUGAGGGACGAAAGCGUGGGGAUCAAACAGGAUUAGAUACCCUGGUAGUCCACGCUGUAAACGAUGAGUACUAGCUGUUGGAGUCGGUGUAAAGGCUCUAGUGGCGCAGCUAACGCGAUAAGUACUCCGCCUGGGGACUACGGCCGCAAGGCUAAAACUCAAAGGAAUUGACGGGGACCCGCACAAGCGGUGGAGCAUGUGGUUUAAUUCGAUGCAACGCGAAGAACCUUACCUGGUCUUGACAUCCUGCGAACUUUCUAGAGAUAGAUUGGUGCCUUCGGGAACGCAGUGACAGGUGCUGCACGGCUGUCGUCAGCUCGUGUUGUGAAAUGUUGGGUUAAGUCCCGCAACGAGCGCAACCCCUAUUGAUAGUUACCAUCAUUAGGUUGGGUACUCUAUUGAGACUGCCGCUGACAAGGCGGAGGAAGGUGGGGACGACGUCAAGUCAUCAUGGCCCUUACGACCAGGGCUACACACGUGCUACAAUGGGUAUUACAGAGGGCUGCGAAGGUGCGAGCUGGAGCGAAACUCAAAAAGGUACUCUUAGUCCAAGG